AGUGAACGCUGGCGGUAGGCCUAACACAUGCAAGUCGAACGGCAGCACAGUAAGAGCUUGCUCUUACGGGUGGCGAGUGGCGGACGUGUGAGGAAUACAUCGGAAUCUACUUUUUCGUGGGGGAUAACGUAGGGAAACUUACGCUAAUACCGCAUACGACCUACGGGUGAAAGCAGGGGAUCUUCGGACCUUGCGCGAUUGAAUGAGCCGAUGUCGGAUUAGCUAGUUGGCGGGGUAAAGGCCCACCAAGGCGACGAUCCGUAGCUGGUCUGAGAGGAUGAUCAGCCACACUGGAACUGAGACACGGUCAAGACUCCUACGGGAGGCAGCAGUGGGGAAUAUUGGACAAUGGGCGCAAGCCUGAUACAGCCAUCCCGCGUGGGUGAAGAAGGCCUUCGGGUUGUAAAGCCCUUUUGUUGGGUAAGAAAAGCAGCAGGUUAAUACCCCGCUGUUCUGACGGUACCCAAAGAAUAAGCACCGGCUAACUUCGUG
rnacentral:rRNA from 1 species